CGGCAGGCUUAACACAUGCAAGUCGAGGGGUAACAGGGAUUGCUUGCAAUCCGCUGACGACCGGCGAACGGGUGCGUAACGCGUAUGCAACCUACCUUUUACAGGGGAAUAGCCCAAAGAAAUUUGGAAUAAUACCCCAUACGAUCUUUUAUUGGCAUCAAUUAAAGAAGAAAACUCCGGUGGUAAAAGAUGGGCAUGCGUCCUAUUAGUUUGUUGGUAAGGUAAUGGCUUACCAAGACAUCGAUAGGUAGGGGUCCUGAGAGGGAGAUCCCCCACACUGGUACUGAGACACGGACCAGACUCCUACGGGAGGCAGCAGUGAGGAAUAUUGGACAAUGGAGGCAACUCUGAUCCAGCCAUGCCGCGUGCAGGAAGACUGCCCUAUGGGUUGUAAACUGCUUUUAUACAGGAAGAAUUGCAUCUACGUGUAGUUGCUUGACGGUACUGUACGAAUAAGGAUCGGC
rnacentral:rRNA from 1 species